rnacentral:lncRNA from 1 species
CCAAAUUCAGGAUCUCGCUCUCAACUUUCUAUCUGCAAGUCUGAGCUUGCUCAGCUGGAGAGGCUACCAGAAGCUCCAAGGUAAAAUCAGUAACUUUGCUCCUUGGGCAGAAGUAGACCCUUGACCCAGAACUUAACCCUAAAGCAAUUAAGCACUCACUGGUCAUCAUCUUGGACUGGGCAAAGACACCAAGUUGCAAUGACUACAAGUCAUCAGAGGGCUCAUCUUGGCCACCAAGCUUUCUCCAGAACAAAGCCACAGCAGCAUCCAGGGCUGUGUACCGUCCUUGCAAAGUUCUUCAGCUCUUCAGGUGAACAACAGAAGAAGAGGAGACUUGCUGAGUCAGUCUCUGCUUCCCUAUGGCUGCUGCUUAUCUCACAGUCACCUUUGUCUUUGAAAGCCUUCUUGACCCAGGAGGAAAUUUAAUGAAUCAGCAGCGAAUGCCUGCUGGCUGAGAGCAGAAGGUUUAUGAUGGAGUAGACUUGUAAUCGAGACCUAAGUGUUAGAAUGACUAAGAGUGAAUGGCUGAUGGGACACACGCUCUCCUUGAAAGCUUCUGCGUGCUGGAGGCAGGACCACCAGUCAUACAGCAUAUGGUGAACAGUAUUGCUGAAACAAACCUACUUUUCUCUUCAUAAAAGAUAUACAAUAGUGAAAGGAUAUUUUUACAACUGUUUGCGUG